GCGGUCGUGGUGGAAUCGGCAGACACGCUAUCUUGAGGGGGUAGUGGUCUUUUGACCGUGCGAGUUCAAGUCUCGCCGACCGCACCA
rnacentral:tRNA from 1 species